GAUGAACGCUAGCUACAGGCUUAACACAUGCAAGUCGAGGGGCAGCACAGUGUAGCAAUACAUGGGUGGCGACCGGCGCACGGGUGCGUAACGCGUAUCCAACCUUCCCGUUACUCUUGGAUAGCCUUCCGAAAGGGAGAUUAAUACAAGAUGGUAUUCAAAUUCCGCAUGUUAUUUGAAUUAAAGAUUUAUCGGCAACGGAUGGGGAUGCGUGACAUUAGAUAGUAGGCGGGGUAACGGCCCACCUAGUCUACGAUGUCUAGGGGUUCUGAGAGGAAGGGCCCCCACAAGGGAACUGAGACACGGUCCAGACGCCUACGGGAGGCAGCAGUGAGGAAUAUUGGUCAAUGGUCGGAAGACUGAACCAGCCAAGUAGCGUGAAGGAUGAAGGUCCUAUGGAUUGUAAACUUCUUUUAUACGGGAAUAAAACACCUUACGUGUAGGGUCUUGUAUGUACCGUAUGAAUAAGCAUCGGCUAACUCCGUGCCAGCCGCCGCGGUAAAAC
rnacentral:rRNA from 1 species